UGCAGUCGAGCGCUCUUUUCCUUCGGGGAAGGGAGCGGCGGACGGGUGAGUAACACGUGGGUAACCUGCCGUUCAGAUGGGGAUAACGCCUGGAAACGGGUGCUAAUCCCGAAUGGUAUCCCUGCUCGCAUGGGCGGGGAAGGAAAGGCGCUUUAGGGCGUCGCUGAACGAUGGGCCCGCGGCGCAUUAGCUGGUUGGUGGGGUAACGGCCUACCAAGGCGACGAUGCGUAGCCGACCUGAGAGGGUGACCGGCCACACUGGGACUGAGACACGGCCCAGACUCCUACGGGAGGCAGCAGUAGGGAAUCUUCCGCAAUGGGCGAAAGCCUGACGGAGCAACGCCGCGUGAAUGAAGACGGUCUUCGGAUUGUAAAGUUCUGUCAAUUGGGACGAGCGACCUUGAGAGGAAAUGCUCAGGGGGAGACGGUACCAAAGGAGGAAGCCCCGGCUAACUACGUGCCAGCAGCCGCGGUAAUACGUAGGGGGCAAGCGUUGUCCGGAAUGACUGGGCGUAAAGCGCGCGCAGGCGGUCUUUCGCGUCUGGGGUGAAAGGUC
rnacentral:rRNA from 1 species